rnacentral:sRNA from 1 species
UCCUAGUGACGACGUGUGCUACGCCUAC